rnacentral:misc_RNA from 1 species
AUGUAUGGCGGCUCAUUACCCUUAAACAGCCGUGCCCAAUCAUCGCCAGAUUUGAAAUAAAAUUAAAGAAAUUUAUAAAUGUUUUACUAUUUGUGUUUUGUUGCGCACUUUUCUGAGAUAAUAUUUACAUCCAAUUCUUUAUGCAUUGGAUGGUGUUAUCGAUGAAAGGGCCGACACCAUUAUCUCCCCUUUGUCACGCACUUUAUUACUAGAGUUAUCUCCCCAUUGAAUAUAUAAAUUAAAGCCCAAGCCCAAUAAUCUUUCUUUCACUUCCUGUUGCUGAGAAGAUAGGUUGGUUAAGUUAAUAUUAUAUUUUUAUCUUUGAUAAGCACGUGCUGCAAAUAACCCACCCAUCCCUCCCUUUUGAAAAGGUAUCUGCUGGUUGUUCUCUGUUUUAUUUUUCAGAAACCCUGUAAGGACCUGUCAUCCGGUACGGCUGUUUUAUGCUACACGUGUGCACUUACACCUGAUUGGCAUGAAUGAGCGGCGCUGGUCAUUUCAGACUAGUGCAUGUAUUAUUAUGUGGACAUCGACCCCUGCACCUCCCAAGGGUCAAUCGUAAAUUCUUGACUUCUGCACCUCCCAGAGUCAAGGUAUUAAACAUUUGAACUUUGAGUGAACUUGGAAUGAACUUUGAACUUUGAGUGAACUUGGAAUGAACUUUGAACUUUGUUUGAAUUUGUUGAAUUAUGUGAACUACAGUAUGAUGUUACUUGAUGUGUUGAAUUUUGAAAUUUGGGGCAUGCCCUUUGUCAUGUAUGGCGGCCCAUUACCCUUAAACAGCCGUGCCCAAUCAUCGCCAGAUUUGAAAUAAAAUUAAAGAAAUU